rnacentral:pre_miRNA from 1 species
AAGUGGAGAGAGUUUUAUCUCAUCAUCUGCUGUUUCAUAUUGGGUGAGAUUCAACUCCUCCAACUGC